rnacentral:ncRNA from 2 species
CGACCAUCUGGAGCGACCGAGAGACCCGGCUCGUCGACGUCGCAGCAACCCCAGAGGAGGGUGCUAACGCCGGGAUCGAUGGGAG